AAUAAACACAUAAUUACACAAAUGAUAUUAUAUACAAACAUGUGAAGUUGGAAGUUGAUCUGCAACUGUACGGCCCUUGCACUAUUAAGUAUUUAACUGCCUAACAUGCCAAGGCUCCCAAACUCAACUAACCCAACUCUUUAACUUUACAAACCAUAACUUUCCCAUCUUGAAGGUUAUCUAACUGGCCAACAUAAAUAACAUGACCAAAGUCCAUGAAGAACAACUAUUUCAACUUGGAUUUUCCUGCCAUGACUUCAGAGAUUUAUCCCAGCGAAAUCUCUAACAGUGAAGCCAACCUUUUCAAACUUCCCUCUCUCACUGCUCUCUCUGAAUUUCAAAUAAUCUGAACAGACAAACGGCUUGUAAAUUCUUGCAUAUCCUUCUCCAACUACUUCAUCUGGUGCAAAGAUCACCUUCUCAUCCUCAAAGCACCAGAAAAAAGCAAGAGAGAAUCGGUUAACUGGUUUUUUCAAAAUAACUCGAUGUUCUGAUGAUCUAAAUUUCUCAUUGCUCCAAGCUUGCAACAUAUCUCCUAUGUUCACCACCAAAGUUUCCUCACAGGGGUUUAUGUCCAUCCACUUCCCUUCCCUAGAUUUCACCUGAAGCCCGCCAAUUUGGUCUUGGUAUACAAUCGUUACGCAGCUCAUGUCUGUAUGCAUCCCGAGGCCCUCAACCUCAUCAUCUAGACAUUUUAGAGGUGUGUAGUUUAUAAUCCUCAAAUAUCCAUGGCCAUUCUUGAAUUCAGAUUCAUAGUAUUUCUUAUGAGCAAGACCAUAUUCCAAGCUUCGCAAUAGAAUCUCAAUGAUUCUUUGGGAUAGCUCUGUCAUCUUGCUCCCAUAUUCCUGAAGCGCCUUGCUGUACUUGCUUCAGAUAUCAG
rnacentral:misc_RNA from 1 species